rnacentral:misc_RNA from 1 species
UUUUGCCAUGAUAUUCUCAUUCCUUCUAAAUACCCACAAAUGAUCAAGUUCCUAGAUUGGUUGAUGUUUUUCCUAGUCUUAAUCAACAGAAUCAACAGGACCAUGUGCAUCUAUUUGAGAUUUUAUUUUAUCAUUAAACCUUUGUGAUUGAAUGAUGGUGUCUUCCCUUUUAGUAAUUCUUGUCAUGAUGGUCUUUGAUUGUUAAUUGACCCAUAAUUCUUUCCAUUUUCUCUCAUUCUUGUUCCAGCUGUCAGGAGCUUCACCUGAAUUG